GCCGGGAUGGCGAAAUUGGUAUACGCAACGGACUUAAAAUCCGUUGGCCGCAAGGCCGUGCGGGUUCGAGUCCCGCUCCCGGUA
rnacentral:tRNA from 1 species